UCUUGUGAUUAGCUAUUGGUUGCUUUAAUCCCACUCACUUCAAAAUUCCGUAUUUACAGAUGAGUAGGAGAUGAAUGACAUACAGCACAGGGUUCGAUAUCCCGACAAUCUUUGUAAUGAUGUGAAAACUGCUGUUGACAAGUGGUCUCCAUUCAACAUCCCCAGUUUCCCUUUGUCACCACAAAGUAGGAUAUUAUGGAGUCCUUGAAAUAAGUCCAGAUGAGGGGGAUCCGACUGUUUUCAUGCUAUUGGCUGAUAUCCUCUGGCGUAUUCAGAGAAGUACGGAUUCACUUGUUUUAUUGUACGUAUGAUUUCAUUGUGUGCAUCGUACUCCAUUUAUGUACCUAAAAAGGAUUACACUGUGUUUCUUUUAUGUCUU